GAUGAAGAACGUAGCGAAAUGCGAUAAGUAAUGCGAAUUGCAGAAUUUCCGUGAGUCAUCGAAUCUUUGAACGCACAUUGCGCCCAUUGGCAUUCCGAUGGGCAUGCCUGUUCGAGCGUCAUUAUCCUCCCUCAAACCCCUGGGUUUGGUGUUGGACUGUGUGGUGCCUGGCACCACUGGUCUCAAAGACAAUGACGGCGUCCGUGGGACCCUCGGUGCAACGAGCUUUUCGAAGCACGCGUCGGGUGGACAGUCUCUCCGGGCCGGUCACCGCUCCAAUUUUGCUCAGGUUGACCUCGGAUCAGGUAGGAAUACCCGCUGAACUUAAGCAUAUCAAUAAGCGGAGGA
rnacentral:misc_RNA from 1 species